UACGUAGGGUGCGAGCGUUUGUCCGGAAUUAUUGGGCGUAAAGAGCUCGUAGGCGGCUUGUUGCGUCGGAUGUGAAAGCCCGGGGCUUAACUCCGGGUCUGCAUUCGAUACGGGCAGGCUAGAGUUCGGUAGGGGAGAUCGGAAUUCCUGGUGUAGCGGUGAAAUGCGCAGAUAUCAGGAGGAACACCGGUGGCGAAGGCGGAUCUCUGGGCCGAUACUGACGCUGAGGAGCGAAAGCGUGGGGAGCGAACAGG
rnacentral:rRNA from 1 species